rnacentral:rRNA from 1 species
UUAAGCGACUAAGCGUACACGGUGGAUGCCCUGGCAGUCAGAGGCGAUGAAGGACGUGCUAAUCUGCGAAAAGCGUCGGUAAGGUGAUAUGAACCGUUAUAACCGGCGAUGUCCGAAUGGGGAAACCCAGUGCAAUUCGUUGCACUAUCGUUAACUGAAUACAUAGGUUAACGAGGCGAACCGGGGGAACUGAAACAUCUAAGUACCCCGAGGAAAAGAAAUCAACCGAGAUUCCCCCAGUAGCGGCGAGCGAACGGGGAGCAGCCCAGAGUCUGAAUCAGCUUGUGUGUUAGUGGAACGGUCUGGAAAGUCCGACGGUACAGGGUGAUAGUCCCGUACACCAAAAUGCACAGGUUGUGAACUCGAAGAGUAGGGCGGGACACGUGGUAUCCUGUCUGAAUAUGGGGGGACCAUCCUCCAAGGCUAAAUACUCCUGACUGACCGAUAGUGAACCAGUACCGUGAGGGAAAGGCGAAAAGAACCCCGGCGAGGGGAGUGAAAAAGAACCUGAAACCGUGUACGUACAAGCAGUGGGAGCACCUUCGGGUGUGACUGCGUACCUUUUGUAUAAUGGGUCAGCGACUUAUAUUCUGUAGCAAGGUUAACCGUAUAGGGGAGCCGCAGGGAAACCGAGUCUUAACUGGGCGUUAAGUUGCAGGGUAUAGACCCGAAACCCGGUGAUCUAGCCAUGGGCAGGUUGAAGGUUGGGUAACACUAACUGGAGGACCGAACCGACUAAUGUUGAAAAAUUAGCGGAUGACUUGUGGCUGGGGGUGAAAGGCCAAUCAAACCGGGAGAUAGCUGGUUCUCCCCGAAAGCUAUUUAGGUAGCGCCUCGUGAACUCAUCUUCGGGGGUAGAGCACUGUUUCGGCUAGGGGGUCAUCCCGACUUACCAACCCGAUGCAAACUACGAAUACCGAAGAAUGUUAUCACGGGAGACACACGGCGGGUGCUAACGUCCGUCGUGAAGAGGGAAACAACCCAGACCGCCAGCUAAGGUCCCAAAGUCAUGGUUAAGUGGGAAACGAUGUGGGAAGGCACAGACAGCCAGGAUGUUGGCUUAGAAGCAGCCAUCAUUUAAAGAAAGCGUAAUAGCUCACUGGUCGAGUCGGCCUGCGCGGAAGAUGUAACGGGGCUAAACCAUGCACCGAAGCUGCGGCAGCGACACUAUGUGUUGUUGGGUAGGGGAGCGUUCUGUAAGCCUGCGAAGGUGACCUGUGAGGGUUGCUGGAGGUAUCAGAAGUGCGAAUGCUGACAUAAGUAACGAUAAAGCGGGUGAAAAGCCCGCUCGCCGGAAGACCAAGGGUUCCUGUCCAACGUUAAUCGGGGCAGGGUGAGUCGACCCCUAAGGCGAGGCCGAAAGGCGUAGUCGAUGGAAAACAGGUUAAUAUUCCUGUACUUGGUGUUACUGCGAAGGGGGGACGGAGAAGGCUAUGUUAGCCGGGCGACGGUUGUCCCGGUUUAAGCAUGUAGGCGGAGGUUCCAGGUAAAUCCGGUACCUUUUAACGCUGAGGUGUGAUGACGAGGCACUACGGUGCUGAAGUAACAAAUGCCCUGCUUCCAGGAAAAGCCUCUAAGCAUCAGGUAACAUUAAAUCGUACCCCAAACCGACACAGGUGGUCAGGUAGAGAAUACCAAGGCGCUUGAGAGAACUCGGGUGAAGGAACUAGGCAAAAUGGUGCCGUAACUUCGGGAGAAGGCACGCUGGUGUGUAGGUGAAGUCCCUGCGGAUGGAGCUGAGACCAGUCGAAGAUACCAGCUGGCUGCAACUGUUUAUUAAAAACACAGCACUGUGCAAACACGAAAGUGGACGUAUACGGUGUGACGCCUGCCCGGUGCCGGAAGGUUAAUUGAUGGGGUUAUCCGUAAGGAGAAGCUCUUGAUCGAAGCCCCGGUAAACGGCGGCCGUAACUAUAACGGUCCUAAGGUAGCGAAAUUCCUUGUCGGGUAAGUUCCGACCUGCACGAAUGGCGUAAUGAUGGCCAGGCUGUCUCCACCCGAGACUCAGUGAAAUUGAACUCGCUGUGAAGAUGCAGUGUACCCGCGGCAAGACGGAAAGACCCCGUGAACCUUUACUAUAGCUUGACACUGAACAUUGAGCCUUGAUGUGUAGGAUAGGUGGGAGGCUUUGAAGCGUGGACGCCAGUCUGCGUGGAGCCAACCUUGAAAUACCACCCUUUAAUGUUUGAUGUUCUAACGUUGGCCCCUAAUCGGGGUUGCGGACAGUGUCUGGUGGGUAGUUUGACUGGGGCGGUCUCCUCCCAAAGAGUAACGGAGGAGCACGAAGGUUAGCUAAUCCUGGUCGGACAUCAGGAGGUUAGUGCAAUGGCAUAAGCUAGCUUGACUGCGAGCGUGACGGCGCGAGCAGGUGCGAAAGCAGGUCAUAGUGAUCCGGUGGUUCUGAAUGGAAGGGCCAUCGCUCAACGGAUAAAAGGUACUCCGGGGAUAACAGGCUGAUACCGCCCAAGAGUUCAUAUCGACGGCGGUGUUUGGCACCUCGAUGUCGGCUCAUCACAUCCUGGGGCUGAAGUAGGUCCCAAGGGUAUGGCUGUUCGCCAUUUAAAGUGGUACGCGAGCUGGGUUUAGAACGUCGUGAGACAGUUCGGUCCCUAUCUGCCGUGGGCGCUGGAGAAUUGAGGGGGGCUGCUCCUAGUACGAGAGGACCGGAGUGGACGCAUCACUGGUGUUCGGGUUGUCAUGCCAAUGGCACUGCCCGGUAGCUAAAUGCGGAAGAGAUAAGUGCUGAAAGCAUCUAAGCACGAAACUUGCCCCGAGAUGAGUUCUCCCUGAGACUUUAAGUCUCCUGAAGGAACGUUGAAGACGACGACGUUGAUAGGCCGGGUGUGUAAGCGCAGCGAUGCGUUGAGCUAACCGGUACUAAUGAACCGUGAGGCUUAACCUU